GAUGAACGCUGGCGGCGUGCCUAAUACAUGCAAGUCGAGCGAACAGAUGAGGAGCUUGCUCCUCUGACGUUAGCGGCGGACGGGUGAGUAACACGUGGAUAACCUACCUAUAAGACUGGGAUAACUUCGGGAAACCGGAGCUAAUACCGGAUAAUAUAUUGAACCGCAUGGUUCAAUAGUGAAAGACGGUUUUGCUGUCACUUAUAGAUGGAUCCGCGCCGCAUUAGCUAGUUGGUAAGGUAACGGCUUACCAAGGCAACGAUGCGUAGCCGACCUGAGAGGGGGAGGGCCCCCACGAGAACUGAGACGCGGCCCAGACCCAGCGGGGAGCAGGAAGGGGGCAUUCGCGAGAAAGGGGGGAAGCCCUGGCGGAGAAGCCCCGCGAGGGUGAUAAGGUUCUUCGUAUCGAAAAACUUUGUUAUGGGGGAAAAACAAAUGUGUAAGAAACUAUGCGCGUCUGAACGGAACAUAAUAAAAAAGCCACGCCAAACUACGUC
rnacentral:rRNA from 1 species